rnacentral:rRNA from 1 species
AUUGAACGCUGGCGGCAUGCCUUACACAUGCGAGUCGAACGGCAGCACGGGUGCUUGCCCCUGGUGGCGAGUGGCGAACGGGUGAGUAAUACAUCGGAACAUGUCCUGUAGUGGGGGAUAGCCCGGCGAAAGCCGGAUUAAUACCGCAUACGAUCUACGGAUGAAAGCGGGGGACCUUCGGGCCUCGCGCUAUAGGGUUGGCCGAUGGCUGAUUAGCUAGUUGGUGGGGUAAAGGCCUACCAAGGCGACGAUCAGUAGCUGGUCUGAGGGGACGACCAGCCACACUGGGACUGAGACACGGCCCAGACUCCUACGGGAGGCAGCAGUGGGGAAUUUUGGACAAUGGGCGAAAGCCUGAUCCAGCAAUGCCGCGUGUGUGAAGAAGGCCUUCGGGUUGUAAAGCACUUUUGUCCGGAAAGAAAUCCUUGGCCCUAAUACGGUCGGGGGAUGACGGUACCGGAAGAAUAAGCACCGGCUAACUACGUG